UGGGGGAUAUUGCACAAUGGGCGAAAGCCUGAUGCAGCGACGCCGCGUGGGGGAUGAAGGCCUUCGGGUUGUAAACUUCUUUUGCUCUGAACAAGGCAUGCCUUUGGGGUGUGUUGAGUGUAGGGGUUGAUUAGCGCCGGCUAACUACGUGCCAGCAGCCGCGGUAAUACGUAGGGCGCGAGCGUUGUCCGGAAUUAUUGGGCGUAAAGGGCUUGUAGGUGGCUGGUUGCGUCUGUCGUGAAAGCUCAUGGCUUAACUGUGGGUUUGCGGUGGGUACGGGCUGGCUUGAGUGCAGUAGGGGAGGCUGGAAUUCCUGGUGUAGCGGUGGAAUGCGCAGAUAUCAGGAGGAAUACAGGUGGCGAAGGCGGGUUUCUGGGCUGUUACUGACGCUGAGGAGCGAAAGCGUGGGGAGCGAACAGG
rnacentral:rRNA from 1 species